rnacentral:rRNA from 1 species
GAUGAACGCUGGCGGCGUGCCUAAUACAUGCAAGUCGAGCGAACAGACGAGGAGCUUGCUCCUCUGACGUUAGCGGCGGACGGGUGAGUAACACGUGGAUAACCUACCUAUAAGACUGGGAUAACUUCGGGAAACCGGAGCUAAUACCGGAUAACAUGUUGAACCGCACGGUUCAACAGUGAAAGACGGUUUUGCUGUCACUUAUAGAUGGAUCCGCGUCGCAUUAGCUAGUUGGUAAGGUAACGGCUUACCAAGGCAACGAUGCGUAGCCGACCUGAGAGGGUGAUCGGCCACACUGGAACUGAGACACGGUCCAGACUCCUACGGGAGGCAGCAGUAGGGAAUCUUCCGCAAUGGGCGAAAGCCUGACGGAGCAACGCCGCGUGAGUGAAGAAGGUCUUCGGAUCGUAAAACUCUGUUAUUAGGGAAGAACAAAUGUGUAAGUAACUAUGCACGUCUUGACGGUACCUAAUCAGAAAGCCACGGCUAACUACGUG